rnacentral:rRNA from 1 species
AGAGUUUGAUCCUGGCUCAGAUUGAACGCUGGCGGCAUGCCUUACACAUGCAAGUCGAACGGCAGCACGGGAGCAAUCCUGGUGGCGAGUGGCGAACGGGUGAGUAAUAUAUCGGAACGUACCUUGGAGUGGGGGAUAACGUAGCGAAAGUUACGCUAAUACCGCAUAUUCUGUGCGCAGGAAAGCAGGGGAUCUUAGGACCUUGUGCUCUUUGAGCGGCCGAUAUCAGAUUAGCUAGUUGGUGAGGUAAAGGCUCACCAAGGCGACGAUCUGUAGCGGGUCUGAGAGGAUGAUCCGCCACACUGGAACUGAGACACGGUCCAGACUCCUACGGGAGGCAGCAGUGGGGAAUUUUGGACAAUGGGGGCAACCCUGAUCCAGCCAUGCCGCGUGAGUGAAGAAGGCCUUCGGGUUGUAAAGCUCCUUCGGCCGGGAAGAAAUCGCAUCGGUUAAUACCCGGUGUGGAUGACGGUACCGGAAUAAGAAGCACCGGCUAACUACGUGCCAGCAGCCGCGGUAAUACGUAGGGUGCGAGCGUUAAUCGGAAUUACUGGGCGUAAAGCGUGCGCAGGCGGUUUGUUAAGAUAGGCGUGAAAUCCCCGGGCUCAACCUGGGAACUGCGCUUAUGACUGGCAGGCUAGAGUACGGCAGAGGGGGGUGGAAUUCCACGUGUAGCAGUGAAAUGCGUAGAGAUGUGGAGGAACACCAAUGGCGAAGGCAGCCCCCUGGGUCGAUACUGACGCUCAUGCACGAA